AUUGAACGCUGGCGGCAGGCCUAACACAUGCAAGUCGAGCGGAGCGACAGACGGGGGAGGAAUGCCUAUGAAUCUGCCUGGGAGUGGGGGAUAACGUCCGGAAACGGGCGCUAAUACCACAUACUAUCAGAUUAGCAUAGGUCGGAUUAGCUAUUUGGUGGGGUAAAGGCCUACCAAGGCGAAGAUCCGUAACUGGUCUGAGAGGAUGAUCAGUCACACUGGAACUGAGACACGGUCCAGCCUCCUACGGGAGGCAGCAGUGGGGAAUAUUGGACAAUGGGCGAAAGCCUGAUCCAGCCAUGCCGCGUGUGUGAAGAAGGUCUUCGGAUUGUAAAGCACUUUCAGCGGGGAGGCGUUACCCGCAGAAGAAGCACCGGCUAACUCCGUGCCAGCCGCCGCGGUAAUAC
rnacentral:rRNA from 1 species